rnacentral:rRNA from 1 species
AGUAAGGGCGACUGAAACGGGAUCAGCCCAGCGCAUAAUCUCGCGCCUCUCUCCGGAGAGCGCGCCGAGAGGUGUUGCGUUUCGGAGGGUCUAUAUCCGCCGCCCCAACCGCCUAAGUUCCACUUGAAUGUGACCAAUGACCAUGGAGGGUGCCAGUCCCGUAUGGCGGACUCCCAGUCCCCGACAGGGGGCACACGGGCGGCGGCGUGUGGCCCAUCCGCAGAGUCGGGUUGCUUGAGAAUGCAGCCCUAAGAAGGUGGUAAACUCCAUCUAAGGCUAAAUAUUCCCACGAGACCGAUAGCGAACAAGUACCGUGAGGGAAAGUUGAAAAGGACUUUGAAGAGAGAGUUCAAGAGUACGUGAAACCGUUAAGGGGUAAACGGAUGGUCCCUGUAGGCCGAACAGAGGGGAUUCAGCAGGUCGGCAGUCCGGUGGGAAGCGGGGUCUGAGAAUAAUUGAAUACCUUAAGUGACCAGGCCGUGGCCUCGCUCUCUAUCCGGGAGGGGGGCGCGACUGGCACGCUCCGCUCUCAAUCUCGGGCGCCGGCACAGGCGUAUUUCCGCCUCCUAGUAGCUCACCGCGACUCGUUGCCGGGGAUGUCGAUGGCCCGGUCGGAUUGGUACCCUGUUUUCACAGGGGAAACCGCCGGUGAAUUUCCUGACAGCCCUGCGACGGUCAAAAAGUGGCAGAGAAGCUGCACACGAGAUGUACACGACAAGGGCCGGUUAUCUUUUUAGCCGGACCCGUAAGUCGUCUCGCAGCUGAGCUCUUGCGGUGUUACAAGCACAGAGGGCCAACCGACCCGUCUUGAAACACGGACCAAGGAGUCUAACAUGUGUGCGAGUCAUUGGGUGCACUAAACCCACAGGCGAAAUGAAAGUGAUUCAAAAUCCUGUUAACGAAAGCAAUCACUUCCGUGGUUGCGACGAUGGGCCGAUCCCUAGGCCGACUGCUCGCUGGCGUGUGCGGCUUUCGGCCCCUCCCCGGUUCGUUGGGUGAGACCCUUUCCUCAGCAGCCGGGGGCCCAAGGGGCCGAUCGCUUCCGUCGCGUCGCGUGGCAUAGGCCCGCGCCUGCAAGACGACAGGGGGGCGCAGGCCCGGGACUUUUUCCCUCAAACGGGGCCGGGGUUCGGGGCUCACGAGGCGAAAGGAAGUUUUCCAAGUAGCAGUGGCCUCUCACUCCUCGGCCCCCGGGGAGAAGUACCUUGAGCAGGCAUGUUAGUACCCGAAAGAUGGUGAACUAUGCCUGGCCAGGACGAAGCCAGAGGAAACUCUGGUGGAGGUCCGUCGCGAUUCUGACGUGCAAAUCGAUCGUCGGAGCUGGGCAUAGGGGCGAAAGACUAAUCGAACUAUCUAGUAGCUGGUUCCCUCCGAAGUUUCCCUCAGGAUAGCUGGCACUCGGGAAACGGAGUUUCAUCCUGUAAAGCUAAUGAUUAGAGGUCUUGGGGACGAAACGUCCUCAACCUAUUCUCAAACUUUAAAUGGGUGAGAUGCCGAGCUUGCUUAAAAAACUGUGAAGCUCUGGCGGACAAUCUGAAGUGCCAAGUGGGCCAAUUUUGGUAAGCAGA